GCUUGUGUGGUGUAGUGGUUUGAUGUUGGAUUAUGACACUGAAGAAAAGAGUUCAAUUCCCUGCUCAGCCA